UUGGAGGGCAAGUCUGGUGCCAGCAGCCGCGGUAAUUCCAGCUCCAAUAGCGUAUAUUAAAGUUGUUGCAGUUAAAAAGCUCGUAGUUGAAUUUCGGGAUUCUACCGUUGGUCGGGCUAACAAGUCUGUACUGGUGUGUAGAAUUUCUACCUUCUGGGGAACUAUCAUGUUAUUAAUUUAGCGUGGUGGGAAACCAGGACCUUUGCCUUGAAAAAAUUAGAGUGUUCAAAGCAGGCUUACAGUCUGAAUACAUUAGCAUGGAAUAAUAGAAUAGGACGGUGGUCCUGUUUUGUUGGUUUCUGAAUCACCGUAAUGAUUAAUAGGGAUAGUUGGGGGCAUUAGUAUUCAAUUGUCAGAGGUGAAAUUCUUGGAUUUAUUGAAGACUAACUUCUGCGAAAGCAUUUGCCAAGGAUGUUUUCAUUAAUCAAGAACGAAAGUUAGGGGAUCGAAGACGAUCAGAUACCGUCGUAGUCUUAACCAUAAACUAUGCCGACUAGGGAUCGGACGAUGUUAAAUUUUAUUGACUCGUUCGGCGCCUUACGGGAAAC
rnacentral:rRNA from 1 species